UAUUUAGGGUGGUAGGGGGGUAAGUCUGGAAAGGUAGGUUAGGUCUAAUUUCUGGAGGGUUGGACUUUGAGAACUGGCUGAUAAGAUUGGCCAUUUGUCCUUAGGCAAUGGAGAGCAAGGAAAGAUUUAUGGAGCAGAAAGUUAUAUGAUCCACAUGUGCUUUGGAAGAAGUUUGCCUGUAUUGGAAAGGAUAGAGUCUUGUGGAAAGGAGUUUAGGUAGAAGAUUUUGGUUACAGAAUCACGAAGAUCCGACAACUGAUUAAAUGUGGAUGGGGGACAAGGCGGGGAAGAUGAAGUCAAAGAGGCAUCUGAAGGCAACUUCAUGUACUGCUUGUGAUGCAUGACUCCCGACACACAGACCGAGUGAAGGAGCCAACAUCGAUUCAUGUGAAUGAUAAGGAUUGAGUUCCUAGCCUGGCAAAAAGAAAAACUGCUCAGCUUCUCCUCAAUAUGCCUUCAUGACCCUGAGAAGCGCUGGGAGUAUAGCAGCGAGCAAGUCAUUGCCUGACCCUUACAAGAAGAUAAUCACAACAGCAGAGUG
rnacentral:lncRNA from 1 species